ensembl:lncRNA
UGUCAGGCCAGGUGUUCAACAUCAAACUGUCCCUGUCAGGCCAGGUGUUCAACAUCAAACUGAUCUUGUCAGGCCAGGUGUUCAACAUCAAACAUCAAACUGUUCCUGUCAGGCCAGGUGUUCAACAUCAAACUGUUCCUUUCAGGCCAGGUGUUCAACAUCAAACUGUUCCUGUCAGGCCAGGUGUUCAACAUCAAACUGUUCCUGUCAGGCCAGGUGUUCAACAUCAAACUGUUCCUGUCAGGCCAGGUGUUCAACAUCAAACUUUUCCUGUCAGGCCAGGUGUUCAACAUCAAACUGUCCCUGUCAGGCCAGGUGUUCAACAUCAAACUGUUCCUGUCAGGCCAGGUGUUCAACGUCAAACAUCAAACUGUUCCUGUCAGGCCAGGUGUUCAACAUCAAACUGAUCCUGUCAGGCCAGGUAUUCAACAUCAAACUGAUCCUGUCAGGCCAGGUCUUCAACAUCAAACAUCAAACUGUCCCUGUCAGGCCAGGUGUUCAACAUCAAACUGAUCCUGUCAGGCCAGGUGUUUAAUAUCAAACUGUUCCUGUCAGGCCAGGUGUUCAACAUCAAACUGUUCCUGUCAGGCCAGGUGUUCAACAUCAAACAUCAAACUGUUCCUGUCAGGCCAGGUGUUCAACAUCAAACUGUUCCUGUCAGGCCAGGUGUUCAACAUCAAACUGUUCCUGUCAGG